rnacentral:rRNA from 1 species
AGUGAACGCUGGCGGUAGGCCUAACACAUGCAAGUCGAACGGCAGCACAGUAAGAGCUUGCUCUUACGGGUGGCGAGUGGCGGACGGGUGAGGAAUACAUCGGAAUCUACUUUUUCGUGGGGGAUAACGUAGGGAAACUUACGCUAAUACCGCAUACGACCUACGGGUGAAAGCAGGGGAUCUUCGGACCCUGCGCGAUUGAAUGAGCCGAUGUCGGAUUAGCUAGUUGGCGGGGUAAAGGCCCACCAAGGCGACGAUCCGUAGCUGGUCUGAGAGGAUGAUCAGCCAUACUGGAACUGAGACACGGUCCAGACUCCUACGGGAGGCAGCAGUGGGGAAUAUUGGACAAUGGGCGCAAGCCUGAUCCAGCCAUACCGCGUGGGUGAAGAAGGCCUUCGGGUUGUAAAGCCCUUUUGUUGGGAAAGAAAAGCAGCAGGUUAAUACCCCGCUGUUCUGACGGUACCCAAAGAAUAAGCACCGGCUAACUUCGUG